rnacentral:rRNA from 1 species
GACAGAGGGGGCCAGCGUUGUCCGGAUUUAUUGGGCGUAAAGCGCUCGCAGGUGGUUCGUCGCGUCGUGCGUGAAAGACCCCGGCUCAACUGGGGGAGGUCGUGCGAUACGGGCGGACUGGAGGCCAGUAGGGGGAUGCGGAAUUCCGGGUGUAGUGGUGGAAUGCGUAGAGAUCCGGAGGAACACCAGCGGCGAAGGCGGCAUCCUGGACUGGUCCUGACACUCAUGAGCGAAAGCGUGGGGAGCGAUCCGG